AGUGAACGCUGGCGGUAGGCCUAACACAUGCAAGUCGAACGGCAGCACAGUAAGAGCUUGCUCUUACGGGUGGCGAGUGGCGGACGGGUGAGGAAUACAUCGGAAUCUACUUUUUCGAGGGGGCUAACGUAGGGAAACUUACGCUAAUACCGCAUACGACCUACGGGUGAAAGCAGGGGAUCUUCGGACAUUGCGCGAGUGAAUGAGCCGAUGUCGGAUUAGCUAGUUGGCGGGGUAAAGGCCCACCAAGGCGACGAUCCGUAGCUGGUCUGAGAGGAUGAUCAGCCACACUGGAACUGAGACACGGUCCAGACUCCUACGGGAGGCAGCAGUGGGGAAUAUUGGACAAUGGGCGCAAGCCUGAUCCAGCCAUACCGCGUGUGUGAAGAAGGCCUUCGGGUUGUAAAGCCCUCUUGUUGGGAAAGAAAAGCAGCAGGUUAAUACCCCGCUGUUCUGACGGUACCCAAAGAAUAAGCACCGGCUAACUUCGUG
rnacentral:rRNA from 1 species